rnacentral:tRNA from 1 species
GGGGCUGUAGCUCAGUUGGUUAGAGCAAAUCGCUCAUAACGAUAAGGUCGUAGGUUCAAGUCCUACCAGCCCUA